GGGUUGUACGAGAGGAGAUGGCUGGCACACCCCUUGACGAGAUGGGGAGAGGCCCUCAGGCCUGACAACAGCAGACGGUGAAUGGGUUGCCACCUACUUUAAGGCACCGAACCGUCGUCUUUA